UAAAUAGGGAGGAAUGGAGGGGUGGAAGGGAGGGCUGGGCAAGGGUGAAAAAUAAGAACCAAGAGAGACUAUUUAAAGGUGCAAAUUUCCAAUGAUGAAUGUCAUUAUAUUGUAUACCUAAAAUGUACCAAUGAUUAGAAUGAAUAAUCGAUAAUGUAAAAUAGGAAGAAAAGGUCCAAAGGGGUAGGGGUAGUGGGAGGGGCAGGGGAAAGGAAAGAAGGGAAAGGAAAAAUGAUGAGAAAUGGAAAAAAUGGAAAUAAAGUCUUUGUAAAUAGGGAAGGGUGGAGGGCGUGAAGGGAGGGCUAGGAAUGGGGAAAAAAUAAGAACCAAGAUGCAUUAUAUAAAGGUACAAUUCCCAAUGAGAAAUGUAAUUGUGUUGUAUACCUACAAUGUACCAAUUAAUUUUUAAUUUAAUUUUUUAAAAAAUAAAUAAAUAAAUAGUCUGUUUAUGGUAAUGAUAAAUGCCAGUAUUAUGUGUUAUGUUGAUAUUUAAUAGUAAUUUAGACAUUGGAAAAUUUAUGUUGUUC
rnacentral:lncRNA from 1 species